rnacentral:rRNA from 1 species
GACGAACGCUGGCGGCGUGCUUAACACAUGCAAGUCGAACGGUGAACCUCUUCGGAGGGGAUCAGUGGCGAACGGGUGAGUAACACGUGGGCAACCUGCCCCCGGCUCUGGGAUAACUCCAAGAAAUUGGGGCUAAUACCGGAUGUUCACCGCUUCCCGCAUGGGUGGUGGUGGAAAGGGUUUCCGGCUGGGGAUGGGCCCGCGGCCUAUCAGCUUGUUGGCGGGGUAGUGGCCUACCAAGGCGACGACGGGUAGCCGGCCUGAGAGGGUGACCGGCCACACUGGGACUGAGACACGGCCCAGACUCCUACGGGAGGCAGCAGUGGGGAAUAUUGCGCAAUGGGCGGAAGCCUGACGCAGCGACGCCGCGUGGGGGAUGACGGCCUUCGGGUUGUAAACCUCUUUCAGCAGGGACGAAGCGCAAGUGACGGUACCUGCAGAAGAAGCACCGGCCAACUACGUG